AGCCUUAGGGGAGGACGAGGAGGAUGAGGAGGAGGAGGAAGCAGCAGCCGCCGUCCAGGCGUCGGGGGCAGCGCCGGCGCUCCGCCGCCUCCUCCUGAAGUGGACAUCGGUGGGGAAGGGCUCGCCGAACUCGUCCACGCGGCUCGAAGAAGCUGAUGAGAAGAAGCCCACGUGUAGCACUUUUUAUAGCAUUCGGUGUCUCCUGCGUUUCGCAGAUAUGAAGCACUUGAAGCAACUUGGGGCAGGGUUAUUUUUAUACUGGGCAGUUUUCAGCACCCUCCGGGAAAAGAGAGAUUAUUUCCUUAUCUAAGGUGGUUGGUGUUUUGUUUUACAAUUUGGAAAAUUUCCAUAAAAAUUUAAGACAUCCUUUAAAA